rnacentral:rRNA from 1 species
CCUACGGGAGGCAGCAGUGGGGAAUAUUGCACAAUGGGGGAAACCCUGAUGCAGCGACGCCGCGUGAGUGAAGAAGGAAUUCGGUAUGUAAAGCUCUAUCAGCAGGGAAGAAAAUGACGGUACCUGAGUAAGAAGCCCCGGCUAACUACGUGCCAGCAGCCGCGGUAAUACGUAGGGGGCAAGCGUUAUCCGGAUUUACUGGGUGUAAAGGGAGCGUAGACGGCAGGGCAAGUCUGGAGUGAAAGGCGGGGGCUCAACCCCCGGACUGCUCUGGAAACUGUACGGCUGGAGUGCAGGAGAGGUCAGUGGAAUUCCUAGUGUAGCGGUGAAAUGCGUAGAUAUUAGGAGGAACACCAGUGGCGAAGGCGGCUUACUGGACUGUAACUGACGUUGAGGCUCGAAAGCGUGGGGAGCAAACAGGAUUAGAUACCCUGGUAGUC